UCGUAAGGGUGACAAAUGUUUCCAAAAUCCAGUUGAUUCUUAGGAUGUGCUGGUGUAGUUCAAAAUAGUUACCAAGACCUUGGAUUGGAUAGUGCCAGGCUAUUAUUAGAUGGUCUUGGCUCGGAAGUCUUGUUUAUAUCGAGGAUUUAGAUGGAGAGACUUACUUAAGUUUUCCGCGUUGGUUCUUGAGAAUGGCAGAUGUGCUAUGGGCCUAUGACUCCUACUUUAUCUAAAUCACCUAACUUCGAUUCUUGUAGUUCAGCUUCAUUUUUCUGAAUAAAAAUGUUCAUCUCUUUCAUGGAUGCUCUUUCUUUCCCGUGGAAAAGACUGAAACUCUUAAGAGGCUCAGGAGUUUUAUGCCGCGGCACCGUUCUGUUUUUCAGCUCUGGAGUUUUGAGCCGCAGCAUACUCACCCAAGUGUCGCGGAACCAAUGUCCGAUUGCUCCCCUUCCCCUGUUCUUGAACCCGACUCGUUUUAUUUGGUUUGAACUACUUAUAUCUGGUUCUCUCUGUGUAGUUAUUGCUCCAUUCGCCUCGUACCCAAAUAAUGCUAACUGGGGAGAGUUUGUGAGCGAGAGCUCUUGUAUUUUGGGGUUAGGAUUUCUACAUUUUCCCUUUGUUUUCUUGACUCUUGUUCGAUAAUUAGUGAAAAUCGAAGCUUGUCCUUUACCCGUGGUUGUUUC